UUUAAAUAUAUUCUCUUUUCAGACACUUGGUUCACAAAGAUACCCUCCAUUGGCUUUAUGAAGAGGGAUAAAACAAAACAGUGGUUCCUCAUUUUCUAGAUUGUUAUCCUCAAUCAUCUUCCUGUUGCUUACUGGUUGAGCUCCUCCAAGAAGCUUGACUCAAAGGAAGCGGGAUUCUGCUAUGAACUCCAAUGUGCCAGUUUUGGAAGGUCAGUCUAUUUUUUUUAGACAAAAACAUAGCCUUCAGUUCAAAUAUAUUAAGAAUCACUUAUCAGAAAAGUCCAGUGCUAUAUAUCUAACCAUAUUGUAUGGCAUGGUUCCAUACAAAACCCUCAGUUAUUCAAGUGCUUAAUUUGGAUUUGUUCUUUCAACAUGGAUUUGGUAAGAAGGCAGGGUCUCUCAAAAUCAAACUGAAACGAAACUCAGUUUCAUUCUUCAUUUCAACCUUUCAUGCGUGACAGUGGAACCAGUCAAUGUCUAACGCAAGUGCCCAUGAUGGCUGGACAUGUGAUGUGCAUAUACUUGCCAAAAGUUCUGUAGUUGAAUUCUUCAAGGCAGAUGGACCAAGUUAAGACAGAAAUUGUUGAUAUAAAAGGAAGAGUAAUCAGGAGUAUCAUUUUGACUUCAAAAUGAUAUCAGGGUCAAUUUUUAUUUCUCUGUUAAGCCUGCUCUUAUCACCUGCAUUCAAUUGCAUUGGAUUAUAAAGCUUUGAAACACAACAAAGUGAUCAGAAUUUAUGAUGUUAGAUGAAUUUAUCUUAUUGAAUUGGAUGUUGUCUAUGGGGAUGAAGGGGAAGUGGAUAUGAAAGAAAUCGGUAGGAUUUGUCAAGAUGUCUCAUGAUUCCCAGACAGUGGCUAGUUUGAAAUCGUUAUUGGGGGUCUUCCUGCUCAUCAUAAGCUUGAAUUUGUGUUUUGCUGGUGUUCAUCAUAGAUGGUUCUCAAUGUUCAUUGACUUCUCACAAAUGUGGUCUCAGAUGCUUCUAUGAAGAAAGAAAUCAAAAGAAUUGCUAGCACCCGCAGCUAUACAAGUUUGAAGAAACUAUUUUCACUGUAUGAGAAAUGGUCGGAUUCUAUUCUUUCAUCAUAACUUAUCUACAAAAUGCAAAGGCAGGUAUUUGAUAAUCUCUUUCCAAUGGUUGGUCUUAAUGCUCAUUAAUCCUUGUUAUCCGAUCAUGUUUUGCCGCACUCUUAUGUCGAUGAUUUAAUAAAAAAUACUACAAUUUUCUGCUUUGGUACCCCAGGUUGCAUGAUGAUAUAUUUUUUGUUGAUUGGAAAAAUUAUACUGAUGUAGGGAUAUCUGAACCUGGAAAUAACAGGAACUCACCAAUUAAAGCCACGAUCUACAAAGGAUAAGGCAGGAUAAAGAAAAAAAGUCUUGAGAGAACACAAGAACUAGUUGCUAUGAGAAGAUGGUGGCAGUACACAAUUAUUUGAUCUAGCAGGAGUUACCUGAGUUCCAACAAAUGAAGAGCCAACUGGAUAAAUACUGCUCUGCUGUUGAUGUACUCUGGGAAUGAAGGCCCAAAGAAUGAUAUUGUGGAGAUAAAGAUCAAUUUUUUGCUCCACCAAAUUGCAAAUGGGAGACGAGAAGAAAUGGAUUUCAAGUAUUUGUAGUUGGUGGUGAUUCCACCAAUGCAGAUCGUUCAGCAGUUCAUGAGGAAUUCAAGAGUUUAUUUCAUGAUAAAUUCGAAUAUUCUCAUUGUUCUCAAAACAAGUUACUGAAUUCUUUAUAUUAAAUAUUUGAUCUAAAUAGUCAA